UACGAAGGGGGCUAGCGUUGUUCGGAAUCACUGGGCGUAAAGGGCGCGUAGGCGGCUGUUCAAGUCGGGGGUGAAAUCCCGUGGCUCAACCACGGAAUGGCCUUCGAUACUGGACGGCUGGAGACCGGAAGAGGUGAGUGGAACUGCGAGUGUAGAGGUGAAAUUCGUAGAUAUUCGCAAGAACACCAGUGGCGAAGGCGGCUCACUGGCCCGAUACUGACGCUGAGGCACGAAAGCGUGGGGAGCAAACAGG
rnacentral:rRNA from 1 species